CGUGAUCGGGCUCCGGUGGCGUCGAGCGCGUCAGGCCACGCCCCGCGCGCCGGGUCGGUCAAGGCCUGCGCCUGCGCGGCCGCUGGCUCGCCGGCUAGCCGUCCUGCGGGCUGGCGGCUACCGCGCGCGGAGCCGGAUGCCCGCUGCAAUGGCAUGAUCUAGCAGAAAGAUGGCUGCCAAUGGCUAUUUUAUUUUUCUUUCUGUGGCAAGAUUGUCAUGGAGCCUGGAUAUUUCAGGGAAUCCAGUUACCAAAAUGACUCCAGAAGAAAGAACCUAACAGACCAGUAACAAUGGAAGAAAUUGAGAAAGUUACCAAAAAGCUGCCAUCCCCCAAAACACCAGGCUCAGAUGAUGUUACAGCCCAACUCCAAGGAAUGUGGCCUCUCUCUGUCAAACAUACAGGUUAAAAAUCUCCUUCAUGAAGAAGAAAGAUCUUAAGCAACAUGGUGGAUUCAGAAGCUCAUGAAAAGAGGCCGCCCAUCCUGACAUCUUCCAAACAAGACCUGUCACCUCACAUUGCAAAUGUAGGUGAAAUGAAGCAUUAUCUGUGCGGCUGCUGUGCAGCUUUCAACAAUGUAGCCAUCACAUUUCCCAUUCAGAAGGUGCUCUUUCGGCAGCAGCUGUACGGAAUCAAAACCCGGGACGCAGUGCUUCAGCUGAGGAGGGAUGGCUUUCGAAACUUAUACCGCGGAAUCCUUCCCCCACUGUUGCAGAAGACCACCACGCUGGCGCUUAUGUUCGGUCUGUAUGAGGACUUAUCCUGUCUUCUCCGGAAGCACAUCAGUCCCCCUGAGUUUGCAACCCGUAGUGUGGCAGCGGUACUUGCAGGGACAACAGAAGCAAUUUUCACUCCGUUGGAAAGAGUUCAGACAUUGCUUCAAGACCACAGGCAUCAUGACAAAUUUACAAACACUUACCAGGCUUUCAAGGCACUCAGAUGCCAUGGAAUAAGAGAAUAUUAUCGAGGCUUGGUACCUGUUCUUUUCCGUAAUGGAUUCAGCAAUGUCCUUUUCUUUGGCCUUCGUGGCCCCAUUAAGGAGCAUCUGCCUACCGCAACCACCCACAGCGCUCAUUUGGUCAAUGAUUUUAUCUGUGGAGGUCUGUUGGGUGCCAUGUUGGGAAUCUUGUUUUUUCCAGUUAAUGUUGUAAAAACUCGCAUGCAGUCUCAGAUUGGUGGAGAGUUUCAGUCUUCUCCCAAGGUGUUCCAAAAAAUCUGGCUAGAACGAGACAGAAAGCUGACAAAUCUCUUCAGAGGUGCUCACCUGAAUUACCAUCGGUCCCUCAUCUCUUGGGGUAUAAUCAAUGCGACUUAUGAGUUCUUGUUAAAGAUGAUUUGAAAGAAACCAGUUAAGUGCCAUUUAUUAACUGCAUAGACCUAAGAAGAAUGUAGUUUGGCUUUGUUCCUAAUUGACCAAAUACAGGUUGUUGUCGUAAGUUCAGGGCACAAUGAAUUACGGGGCAGAGCUGUUUUCCUUCAGCACCAACAAAUUCAGAAUAAAAGGUUCUAAUAGGAAAAUUUAAGGGGUUUUUGGUUUUGUUUUGUAAUCAUUAUCUAAGAACUUUAGGCUAAUUGCCUGGUUAAUAGCUAUCUAUCUGAUGGCUUUUGACAAGGAAAGCUAAUAGCCAAGAUAUGGUUCUUUUCUCCAAAAGUCUUUAAAUCUUCUGUAUUGAAACAUCAGUGGCCAUGACCAGCCAGAGAAAAGGCUCUUAGAGCCCUGUGAAUUCUCAGGCUUUCUUCUCUUACUCCAUUUCUUCGCUGCUUUUAGGAGUUGCAAAGGGUAGUAUUCGUUAAACAUAAGCAUAUAACGUGGUAGGACAGAGAAGAGAAAAACAGCUUAUUAGAUGUAGGCUUUUCAUGAUAAAUCGCUUGUGUUAGUUUUGAAACUAAGUACAUGUUGGGAUGGUCAUCAUCCAGACUAUUCAGACACAGUAGGGCAGACCCAAGCAGCAGGUGAAAGCUCCCAUUUUGCUUUCUGAGUUGGAAAGUGUUGUUUAGUUCUGAAUGUGACCUUAAACCCUUCGAAUGCCCUUAUGUUAAUUUCACUUAUUUCAUUACCAAAAGAUGGGGAGACUUACAUUUCGUCACAGCUGUUUGAUCCUGUGAAGAAAUUUCACAUGAAUUGCGUAUGGAUCAAACUCUGGUUAGUUUAGUUCUUUGAUUAAUUGUUGCCAACUUAGUGAAGAGCUGUGGGAGUUUGGGGAAUAUUUUCACUUUGAGUCCUAGUUUCUCAUAUUCAAGUAUCCUGUUCUCUUGAACUCUCCUUAAAAAAAAAAAAAAAAAAAGAUAAAUACUUGCAUAAUAUUGAAUUUUGGAAGUCUGUUAAUGGGACUCUAGAUUUUUCCCUCCUGGUUUCUAAGUGUUACAGAAGAGAAAGAAAAAAAAAACCUCAGGAUAGCUUUCACCCCAGAGUGUUAGUUGUCUUUUUUAUUUUACUCUUGGAAAUGGAGACUUCUAUUAGGAUUUUUACAUUUUGGGAACCCAGUUUUACCAUUUUAUCAUUAAAGCCAUUUGAGGUGAUAAAAUCUAAAUCAAGAUAUUUAGAAGGUUCAUUUUAAAUGCUAGAAGUUGGUAAGAGCUGGAUAGCAUACUCAUCCCCUACAUAACAGAGAAAAACUUGUUGAAGGAAUCAGAUUUUAAAGUCUUAUGCCCUGAUCAGUAAGGCAAAAUGCCUCCUAUUUACCAAUUGAAUAACUAAUAAAACCUGAAACAUCCUAGAAAAGUGGUUUAUCAAUCUUUUAAAAAUCCCCAUCUGUAAAUAUGUAGUUAAGAUUGCUUGCCAGCAUCUGACAUGGCAGAGUAGUUAAGUUUCUUAUUACCAGUUUUUCCUCAUUCUGGGUAACUGCAUAUGAAUAUGUGCAUACACUGACCAAAACAAAAUCAGGGUCUCAGCUGGUAGUUUACUCAGUUUCUGGGCAGAUAGUCCAAAAGAGAUGUUUACCUCUAAAUGCAAUAUGGCUGGUCACAUAAGCAUCCUUCCAACCUUAAAGGAUUGGGAAGCAUUAUCAAGCAUUUGCCAGGCAGUAAUGAGGCCCAGUAGCUUUACAACAGCCCUGUUUGGAAAUGUUGUGUUGGAAAUGGCAGUUUACUUUGAAAACCAAGAUGCAGAUGUGAGGAUUUCAGAAAACAAGGAUUUGACACCGAAUAAACGAAUAAACGUGAGUAGCAUCUUUGGCUUAUUGAAUGGAGUCUGGCUUUGAAGCGGGUUGGAUUUGGGGGCAUGAAUGACAAAGGCACUGGUGCUGGAGCACUGAUGGGUGUGUGUAGGUGCUCAGCGUGUGGCAGGUGAGUCAGCCUGGGGCCAUGCUCUGGGAAUGGGCUUCCUUUUGUCUAUACACUCCAGUAAGGUGAUGGAUAACCAAGUUCUGAAGCACUUUUGUGAAAUAGAGGUGAAGUGAGAAUUUGAAAGGGGAUGCUUUGGUUUCUGCAGUCUCAAACUUGUGGCAUUUAAAAACAAUAAAUAUUUUUAAUGGUUUUAACUCCUAAUAUAUUGGAUUUCUUUGUCACUUUUUACAGCUUCUGAAGACCAAACUGCAAAUACAUUACCAGGGAUGGUUUCGUGUUGUCCUAUAGACCUUUUAAAUUUGACAAAAUUCAGCAGGACUUGCUUGUGGUAGCCAACAGCUUUGUCUGAACUUUAAAAGAAGUCAAAGUGUUAUUAAUAAGAGAUUCUAACUAUGCUUUUUUAUCUUCAGUAUGAACUAGUAAUAAUUUUGAAAAGGCAAACAUGAUUGAAUAACUAUCUGAAGAGCUUUAAAAGUGGCCUUUUUGUUACAUAGGUGGCACAGAUGCCUUAUGAGCACAGGGCCCUUCUGGUCCUGCCUCCCAUACUUCAGCUCUGAUGCCACCAGGAAUAUGUUACGGAUUCUGUAUUUAACACACUUAGGAAUGGUAUGAGCCCUUAGGACUGCAUCACAGAGUAAACGCCACCUUUAUAUGGUGGCAGGUUUGUGUGUCUUUGUUUCAUUUGUGGUUGGAGACAGUUGAUGUUUUUGUCUCAAUAAUCAAUAUUCUUCUUUAUGGUUGGUUAUGUAAUUACCUGCUGUAUAUUGUAAACUGUGCAAUAAAACAGAAUUGUGUAUAUAGAAUCAUCUUUGGAGACCUGAACUUUCCUAGCUCGAUGACAGGGGUAAUACUCCGCUCUAGUGCUGUGCAAACAUGUAAGGGAAUCGUGGGUGGCACACAGGAUGUGUGGACCGGGUCAGCCGAUCACAAUGCUGGAAAUGGCAGGUCAGUGCAGAUGAAACUGUGUAGUGAGGGGUAUGCAGUCAAAAUGAAGGCGAGACAGGCCAUCACGUGAAGAAAGGGUGAGCCCUCAGACUUGAUUUCCUUUAAAUUAAGAUACUGUUUUCUCAUGUGCAUAUAAAUGCAUAUUAAAGACUUGAACAGGCAUUCUCUUUAAACUUGAGGACUUUUCAUUUUUAAUACUGUCAUUUUUGCUUAAUAGUAAAUAUUUGCUUGCCUAAGUGACUCCCAAAUUGUGGGGGACUCUCCACGUGUCCCUUUUUUUAAAGUUUCAUGAUGAAAAGUGGUUAAGCACACAAAGCUGUUUUUGUUUGAUAUUUUGAGUUUUGUGACUGAGUUUAAAUGAAAUCUGUUAAAUGUGUUAGAGUUAACAUUCUUCUUUUGGUAAUUCUGUUUGGAAUAAAGUUGUUUGUUUUUUUUAAGUCCAUUCUAUUUGGUCUUCUACUGUGGUUGGGUUAGGGUUAUUGGCACAACUUUUCUGUGGUUCAGGCUUGUCACUGUUGCUAACCAUUGAGCACUCUGCUUUGACUGUAGCACCUUCACCUGUUAACUUUGUAGGUCCUUCAUUUAUCCGUCUUUGGUCUAGAAGAGUUCCAGAUAAGUUAAUUUUCCAGAUAGCUUAAUUGCAAAAUAUUUUUUAAAAUGGUUUUUCUCAAAUAAACUUUUCCCUACUAAGUAUAACCUUAGUAAAUGCAUCUUAUCAGUAAUUUCUGUGGUAUAAUGUGCCUUCAGGUCACACCUACCCCCACGCUAAGUGGUCUGGACCUUUGUGCUGUUUUGAGUUUUUUAUAUCUACGUUUGACUUCCCAGCUACGCUUUUCUGUUAGGGGAUUGUGAAAUUAUUUUAGCUACAUUGUUUACACAUUAAAUUUUCAGGUGUUCCCUGUCUCUAGGGACAGUCGCGGCUGCCUGGUGAGGACCACUAGGAAGGGGAACAAUUGCCAUAAUGUUUCUAAAACUCCAGUUUAGGGUUGGAAUUCAUUGUAUAUAUAUUCUGAACUUCCGAACUGGUAAAAGGGGUGUUGUGCGUGGCAUGUGAUGCGAUGCCGUUUCAGCCCAGCCGCUGGGGUGCUAUUAUAGACUACGGAGCGCAUUUCUCCGUGUGACCUGGUGUGGGCAGGGUGCUUCGGAUCUCUAAGAGGUGGGCACCCAACUUCAUUUAGCAUCUGAAAUUUCCAAUGGGGACAUUUUUUCCAGUGAGCAUAACUGAUUUUGAAGUAGAAACUGAAGAUAAAAUAAGAUUUUUUCUAAAUUCUGUCCCUUCAAUCCAUUCUGCAUAUUGCUUUAAGACUAAUUCUUUAGAUGCACGGAUCCAGGCCCCCCCCCCCCACCUCCCUUCCUGUCAUCGCUGGCUAACAUGGUCCUGCUCAGUGCCCGCCUUCUUCCACAGGAACUUGGGUGCUCUCGCAGCCUCCCCGGCCUCUGCCCAGGCCACGUUCCCCUGCCCUGAGCACAGCACCCUUCCCUGAUGGCUCAGUAACUCCUGCUGAGGCCUUCAGAUCUCUGCUCCAGCGUCACUUCCCCAGGGAAGCCGGCUCCCACUUGCAGGACUAAGUCAGGUUUCCCUUCUCUGUGUUCUUGUGCCACCAUGUUCCUGUUUUUCAUAGCACUUAAUUGUUUUAAUUGGACUGUGCUGAUUUGAUGUUUCCUGCCCCUUUUGAAUGGCAGCCACCUGAGGCAGGGGCUCUGCCAUAGCUUCCUGUUUCAAGUGUCCUGCCCAGUGCCUGACACCUGGUGGAGCUCUGGUUAACAGUAAAGAAUCAGUCAAGAGAGUAAAAGGACAUGUGGAUAUUCAGGAUCAUGGCAUUCUGGAAUAGCCUUUUUUUUUUUUUUUUUUAAUUUUGAGACAGAGCCAAGUGGGAGAGGAGCAGAGAGAGAGAGAGAGAGGGAGACACAGAAUCGGAAGCAGGCUCCAGGCUCUGAGCUGUCAGCACAGAGGCCAACAUGGGGUUUGAACUCACAAACCGUGAGAUCAUGACCUGAGCCAAAGUCGGAUGCUCAACUGACUGAGCUACCCAGGUGCCCUAGCAUUGUGGAAUAUCCUGUCUGACUUUCCUUCCUUGAUGGGUCAUGGAGGUUGGGUAAGGACGAAACUUUUACACUGCUUGGGCUGCAUAGUGAAAUACCACAGACUAAGUGGCUUAAACAACAGACAUUUAUCUCUCUUCAGUUCUCGAAACUAGGAAGUCCAAGCUCAAGGUUCCGGCAGAUUUGGUUCCUGGUGAGAGGCCUCUUCUUGAUGUGCAGACUUCUCACUGUGUCCUCAUGUGGCAGAAGGAACCUCAAUGAGCUCAUCUAAACCUAGUCACCUCCUGAGAGCCCCACCUCCAGAAUGGUGGCCUUCAC